AUACGUAGGGUGCGAGCGUUAAUCGGAAUUACUGGGCGUAAAGCGUGCGCAGGCGGUUUUGUAAGACAGGUGUGAAAUCCCCGGGCUCAACCUGGGAACUGCGUUUGUGACUGCAAGGCUAGAGGGCGACAGAGGGGGGUGGAAUUUCACGUGUAGCAGUUAAAUGCGUAGAGAUGUGGAGGGACACCGAUGGCGAAGGCAGCCCCCUGGGUCGUAACUGACGCUCAUGCACGAAAGCGUGGGGAGCAAACAGGAUUAGAUACCCUGGUAGUCCACGCCCUAAACGAUGUCGACUAGUUGUUCGGAGGGUUUGACCUCUGGGUAACGCAGCUAACGCGUGAAGUCGACCGCCUGGGGAGUACGGUCGCAAGAUUAAAACUCAAAGGAAUUGACGGGG
rnacentral:rRNA from 1 species